UACGGAGGGAGCUAGCGUUGUUCGGAAUUCCUGGGCGUAAAGCGCGCGUAGGCGGCUUUGUAAGUUAGAGGUGAAAGCCCGGGGCUCAACCCCGGAAUUGCCUUUAAGACUGCAUCGCUUGAAUCCGGGAGAGGUGAGUGGAAUUCCGAGUGUAGAGGUGAAAUUCGUAGAUAUCGGGAGGAACACCAGUGGCGAAGGCGGCGAUCUGGGAAGAUACUGACGCUGAGGUGCGAAAGCGUGGGGAGCGAACAGG
rnacentral:rRNA from 1 species